GACGAACGCUGGCGGCGUGCUUAACACAUGCAAGUCGAACGGAAAGGCCCCUUCGGGGGUACUCGAGUGGCGAACGGGUGAGUAACACGUGGGUGAUCUGCCCUGCACUUCGGGAUAAGCCUGGGAAACUGGGUCUAAUACCGGAUAGGACCACGGGAUGCAUGUCCUGUGGUGGAAAGCUUUUGCGGUGUGGGAUGGGCCCGCGGCCUAUCAGCUUGUUGGUGGGGUGACGGCCUACCAAGGCGACGACGGGUAGCCGGCCUGAGAGGGUGUCCGGCCACACUGGGACUGAGAUACGGCCCAGACUCCUACGGGAGGCAGCAGUGGGGAAUAUUGCACAAUGGGCGCAAGCCUGAUGCAGCGACGCCGCGUGGGGGAUGACGGCCUUCGGGUUGUAAACCUCUUUCACCAUCGACGAAGGUCCGGGUUUUCUCGGAUUGACGGUAGGUGGAGAAGAAGCACCGGCCAACUACGUGCCAGCAGCCGCGGUAAUACGUAGGGUGCGAGCGUUGUCCGGAAUUACUGGGCGUAAAGAGCUCGUAGGUGGUUUGUCGCGUUGUUCGUGAAAUCUCACGGCUUAACUGUGAGCGUGCGGGCGAUACGGGCAGACUGGAGUACUGCAGGGGAGACUGGAAUUCCUGGUGUAGCGGUGGAAUGCGCAGAUAUCAGGAGGAACACCGGUGGCGAAGGCGGGUCUCUGGGCAGUAACUGACGCUGAGGAGCGAAAGCGUGGGGAGCGAACAGGAUUAGAUACCCUGGUAGUCCACGCCGUAAACGGUGGGUACUAGGUGUGGGUUUCCUUCCUUGGGAUCCGUGCCGUAGCUAACGCAUUAAGUACCCCGCCUGGGGAGUACGGCCGCAAGGCUAAAACUCAAAGGAAUUGACGGGGGCCCGCACAAGCGGCGGAGCAUGUGGAUUAAUUCGAUGCAACGCGAAGAACCUUACCUGGGUUUGACAUGCACAGGACGCCGGCAGAGAUGUCGGUUCCCUUGUGGCCUGUGUGCAGGUGGUGCAUGGCUGUCGUCAGCUCGUGUCGUGAGAUGUUGGGUUAAGUCCCGCAACGAGCGCAACCCUUGUCUCAUGUUGCCAGCGGGUAAUGCCGGGGACUCGUGAGAGACUGCCGGGGUCAACUCGGAGGAAGGUGGGGAUGACGUCAAGUCAUCAUGCCCCUUAUGUCCAGGGCUUCACACAUGCUACAAUGGCCGGUACAAAGGGCUGCGAUGCCGCGAGGUUAAGCGAAUCCUUUUAAAGCCGGUCUCAGUUCGGAUCGGGGUCUGCAACUCGACCCCGUGAAGUCGGAGUCGCUAGUAAUCGCAGAUCAGCAACGCUGCGGUGAAUACGUUCCCGGGCCUUGUACACACCGCCCGUCACGUCAUGAAAGUCGGUAACACCCGAAGCCAGUGGCCUAACCCUUUGGGAGGGAGCUGUCGAAGGUGGGAUCGGCGAUUGGGACGAAGUCGUAACAA
rnacentral:rRNA from 1 species